UCUUUGCGCUGAUGGUAGUGUGGGGUUACCCAUGUGAGAGUAAGUCAUCGCCAGCU
rnacentral:rRNA from 1 species